CCUACGGGUGGCAGCAGUGGGGGAUAUUGCACAAUGGGGGGAACCCUGAUGCAGCGACGCCGCGUGGGUGAAGAAGCGCCUCGGCGCGUAAAGCCCUGUCAGCAGGGGAGAAAAUGACGGUACCUGAAGAAGAAGCCCCGGCUAACUACGUGCAAGCAGCCGCGGUAAUACGGAGGGGGCCAGCGGUAGCCGGAUGUACUGGGGGUAAAGGGGGCGCAGACGGCGAUGCAAGCCAGGAGGGAAAGCCCGGGGACCAACCCCGGGACUGCUUUUGGAACCGCGUGGCUUGAGUGCAGGAGGGGCAGGCGGAAUGCCUGGUGUAGCGGUGAAAUGCGUAGAUAUCAGGAGGAACACCGGUGGCGAAGGCGGCCUGCUGGACUGCAACUGACGUUGAGGCACGAAAGCGUGGGGAGCAAACAGGAUUAGAUACCCGUGUAGUC
rnacentral:rRNA from 1 species